rnacentral:ncRNA from 1 species
UUGGGAGAAAAUUAGAAAAUCUUAGUUUGCCUGUCGAUUUACAGUGAUGUUCUGCCACGGAUGGCAGAACAAGGCAGCAUCGAGUCAUGGAUGACUCGUUGUUGCCGUUCACGUCACUCUGAGAAACUUCAAAUCAGGCAAACUUAGUUUUUCUUAUUUUCAUA